GACGUAGGGCGCGAGCGUUGUCCGGAAUCAUUGGGCGUAAAGAGCGUGUAGGCGGCUUGUUAAGUCUUGCGUGAAAUCUCGGGGCUCAACCCCGAGCGGUCGUGAGAAACUGGCAGGCUAGAGUGCGGGAGAGGAGAGUGGAAUUCCUGGUGUAGCGGUGAAAUGCGCAGAUAUCAGGAAGAACACCCGUGGCGAAGGCGGCUCUCUGGAACGCAACUGACGCUGAGACGCGAAAGCGUGGGGAGCAAACAGG
rnacentral:rRNA from 1 species